GACGCGUUGGGGGCGUUAAGCGCGGGUGAUUUACAUGUUAAGUCAAUGCAAAGGCGCGAAUAGACAUCAUGCGGCGCGGUUCGCGCUAAUGGCGCGGUGCGAAUUGAGCUUUUAGCGCGAAUGGCGCGGCGCGAAAUGAGCGUUUCGAUCGUUGACGUGCGAAUGGCGCGGCGCGGAUUGAGCGAUUUGAGCGUUGACGCAGAUUCGCAGGAAACGCUCGAGUUGAAAAAUUUGAACUUUGGCGGACAUUCGCGCCGCGUUAACCAAUCAGGAGCUUUCUCUAGUAGUGACGUGAUUACAGGAAGCCAGCAGACGGUGGAGGCAGAAAUGCAAAACAAUGGAGAUCAAUCGUCGUGAGAGAUCUUCGUACUUUUUACCGAAACAGGAAUUUAAAAGGUCUUGGUUGGAAGAAAGUGAGUGAGGAGGAUCGAACAAUCUGCCUGUGUCCCCUCUGAACCUGCUGCUGCGUCUGCUUCCCAUGCCGACCCAUCAACAUCUGCAGCUGUCCCCGCAGCGCCACCAAGAUGAAGAGCUCAGAGAAGGCCUAGAUAGCAGCCAUCAGUGGUGAAGCGGCAGCCUCCUAGAAGCACUCCGGAGUCCGGACCAGUCCUGUAGAUCCAGCACCGCCUCCACGCUCAGAGGAUGAGCUCUUCCUCUUUAGUCUGGUCCCUUACCUGCAGAGGUUGCUACCUCAGAUGAAAAAAAUUGUUACAUUUAAAGUUCACAAAUUAAUUUAUUAAAGCAGUACAGUUGUGCUUAAUGUGGAGCCUAAAAUGUAGUUUUAAAAAAGAGGCAGCAAUCUCUGCAGGUAAUGAACCAGACUUUCUCUCCUCUCCUUCACUUUGGCUCUCCCCCUUCCAAGCAAGAUCCUUUCUUAUUCCUCUAUGUAAAUAGUUGUAAAGGUUCUUUGUAUAUAUUGAUAUAUUUUGUAUAAAUAAAUGGUCUAUACAGUCACCAAAGGUUUUGGUAUUUUACUUUGCGCACAACAUAGUAAAUCACAGUUUAGA